UACGUAGGGGGCUAGCGUUGUCCGGAAUCAUUGGGCGUAAAGCGCGUGUAGGCGGCCCGGUAAGUCCGCUGUGAAAGUCGGGGGCACAACCCUCGGAUGCCGGUGGAUACUGUCGGGCUCGAGUACGGAAGAGGCGAGUGGAAUUCCUGGUGUAGCGGUGAAAUGCGCAGAUAUCAGGAGGAACACCAAUUGCGAAGGCAGCUCGCUGGGACGUUAAUGACGCUGAGGAGCGAAAGCGUGGGGAGCGAACAGG
rnacentral:rRNA from 1 species